rnacentral:rRNA from 1 species
UAGGGAAUCUUCCACAAUGGACGAAAGUCUGAUGGAGCAAUGCCGCGUGAGUGAAGAAGGUUUUCGGAUCGUAAAACUCUGUUGUGAGGGAAGAACAAGUACGAGAGUAACUGCUCGUACCUUGACGGUACCUCAUUAGAAGGCCACGGCUAACUACGUGCCAGCAGCCGCGGUAAUACGUAGGUGGCAAGCGUUGUCCGGAAUUAUUGGGCGUAAAGCGCGCGCAGGCGGUCCCUUAAGUCUGAUGUGAAAUCCCACGGCUCAACCGUGGAAGGUCAUUGGAAACUGGGGGACUUGAGUACAGAAGAGGAAAGCGGAAUUCCAAGUGUAGCGGUGAAAUGCGUAGAGAUUUGGAGGAACACCAGUGGCGAAGGCGGCUUUCUGGUCUGUAACUGACGCUGAGGCGCGAAAGCGUGGGGAGCAAACAG